rnacentral:rRNA from 1 species
UACGAGGGGGGCAAGCGUUGUUCGGAAUUAUUGGGCGUAAAGGGCGCGUAGGCGGUGCGGUAAGUCACCUGUGAAAUCUCUGGGCUCAACUCAGAGUCUGCAGGCGAAACUGCCGCGCUGGAGUAUGGGGAGAGGUGCGGUGGAAUUCCCGGUGUAGCGGUGAAAUGCGUAGAUAUCGAGAGGAACACCGGUGGCGAAGGCGGCGAUCUGGACGAUGACUGACGCUGAGACGCGAAAGCGUGGGGAGCAAACAGG